AUUGAACGCUGGCGGCAGGCUUAACACAUGCAAGUCGAACGGUAACGGGUCGAAAGCUUGCUUUCAAUGCUGACGAGUGGCGGACGGGUGAGUAAGGCUUGGGGAUCUGGCUUUUGGAGGGGGAUAACCAUUGGAAACGAUGGCUAAUACCGCAUAGUAUCGAGAGAUGAAAGGGGUGGGAAACCACUUGCCAAGGGAUGAACCCAAGUGAGAUUAGGUAGUUGGUGGGGUAAGGCCUACCAAGCCGACGAUCUCUAGCUGGUCUGAGAGGAUGGCCAGCCACACUGGGACUGAGACACGGCCCAG
rnacentral:rRNA from 1 species